rnacentral:tRNA from 1 species
GCCCCCGUAGCUUAAUGGAUAGAGUUUCGCGCUUCGAACGCGAUGGUGAAGGUUCGAUUCCUUCCGGGGGCA